GCAGCCGCCGCGGGAAUACAGAGGGUGCGAGCGUUAAUCGGAUUUACUGGGCGUAAAGCGUGCGUAGGCGGCUUUUUAAGUCGGAUGUGAAAUCCCUGAGCUUAACUUAGGAAUUGCAUUCGAUACUGGGAAGCUAGAGUAUGGGAGAGGAUGGUAGAAUUCCAGGUGUAGCGGUGAAAUGCGUAGAGAUCUGGAGGAAUACCGAUGGCGAAGGCAGCCAUCUGGCCUAAUACUGACGCUGAGGUACGAAAGCAUGGGGAGCAAACAGGAUUAGAUACCCGUGUAGUCCCUGUCUCUUAUAC
rnacentral:rRNA from 1 species